CACAAUUUUCAUUUCCGAUUCAAACCUGGAAACUCAAACGAAGACCCCCACAUGGUCGACACCGUCUCUGGUCACUUCUCCACCGUCGGCCUUUAUGCCCUUAUGAUCCGUUUCAUUGAAACCUGAAACUUGGUAGCUCUGUCUCUAGGUUACAGUUGAGAAAGCCACUUCUUUGUUGAAUUUCUUUGCUUUGUUUUGUACAAGAGAUCUCCUGUCAAGUUCAAGCAAGUAUCUCUUAUGGUACAUGAUGAAUUUCUCUUACUUGUGUUGAUGAUAAAACAGAGACCGUGAAGAUGUGAUGGUAUUUUUUCUUUAUGUUCAUGAUCUUUCUUCUUCUUUUUUUUCUUUUAAUUUAAGUGGCAAAGUUGAAUUUGAGUUGGUGAAUUUGAGUAGGUCUACAAAGGUUAGUCAUACCCGAACUAAGUGAGAUACAUAGAUUAUGUAAGAGUGAGAUUGCAUUCUGAUUUCUGACAUUUGUUUUACUUGUAUAGGUUCAUGCGGGUUGGUCAAGGAAAGUGAGAUUAUCUACUUCUAGUUUUCAUGAAUGUGUAAUGUGUUUCCAUCUCCAGUUUUCUACUUCGGGUUUUAGGCUUGUCAACUUGUCUUUUUUUUCUUGGAUUUGAAUCAUGUGUUUCAUGGAUAUGUUCUAUGCAUUUUAUGUCUUUAAGACUUUAACUCUUUAUAUUUGGAUGAUUGGAAUUGGAUGUUUAAGAC
rnacentral:lncRNA from 1 species